rnacentral:rRNA from 1 species
UACGUAGGGUGCGAGCGUUGUCCGGAAUUACUGGCGUAAAGAGCUCGUUGGUGGUUUGUCGCGUUGUCCGUGAAAACUCACAGCUCAACUGUGGGCGUGCGGGCGAUACGGGCAGACUGGAGUACUGCAGGGGAGACUGGAAUUCCUGGUGUAGCGGUGGAAUGCGCAGAUAUCAGGAGGAACACCGGUGGCGAAGGCGGGUCUCUGGGCAGUAACUGACGCUGAGGAGCGAAAGCGUGGGGAGCGAACAGG